rnacentral:rRNA from 2 species
GGUCAAGAAACAAAGGGCAUACGGUGGAUGCCUUGGCGCUAAGGGCCGAAGAAGGGCGUGGAAAGCUGCGAAAAGCCACGGGGAGCCGCAAGCAGGCAWCGAUCCGUGGAUACCGAAUGGGGCAACCCGGCGGAGCAAAACUCCGUCACCCUAUGCUGAACACAUAGGCAUAGAGGAGGGCACCCGGGGAACUGAAACAUCUAAGUACCCGGAGGAAGAGAAAGAAAYAUCGAACCCCCAAGUAGCGGCGAGCGAAAAGGGGCGAGCCUAAACCAGAAUUCUUCGGAAAUCUGGGGUUGCGGGAACCUCAUCACGUGAYGAUUAGUCCUAGUCGAAGACACCUGGAAAGGUGCUGCACAGAAGGUAACACACCUGUAGGCGAAAGGACGAAAAUUGCAGAGGACAUCCCAAGUACCGCAGGACACGAGAAACCCUGUGGGAAUCCGGGGGGACCACCCCCCAAGGCUAACUACCCUUAGCGACCGAUAGUGAACCAGUACCGUGAGGGAAAGGUGAAAAGCACCCCGGGAGGGGAGUGAAAAAGAACCUGAAACCGUAUGCCUACAAACUGUCGGAGCACAUUAAAAGUGUGACGGCGUACUUUUUGUAGAACGGACCGGCGAGUUACAUCUAACGUGCAGGUUAAGGCGAGCAUUGCCGGAGCCAAAGCGAAAGCGAGUCUUAAAAGGGCGACAAGUACGUUGGAGUAGACCCGAAACCUGGUGAUCUACCCAUGUCCAGAGUGAAGCUUUAGUAAAAUAAAGUGGAGGCUCGAACCGACCUUCGUUGAAAAGGAGGCGGAUGAGGUGUGGGUAGGGGUGAAAUGCCAAUCGAACCAGGAGAUAGCUGGUUCUCCCCGAAAUAGCUUUAGGGCUAGCCUCGGAAGAUGGUUAGCGGAGGUAGAGCACUGAAUGGGCUAGGGGCCUUCACGGGUUACCGAACCCAAUCAAACUCCGAAUGCCGCAUAACUUACUCCGGGAGUCAGACUGCGAGUGCUAAGAUCCGUAGUCAAAAGGGAAACAGCCCAGACCAACAGCUAAGGUCCCAAAGACAGGCUAAGUGGAAAAGGAUGUGGGGUUGCACAGACAACCAGGAUGUUGGCUUAGAAGCAGCCACCAUUUAAAGAGUGCGUAAUAGCUCACUGGUCAAGUGGCCCUGCGCCGAAAAUGAAACGGGGCUAAGCCUGGCACCGAAGCUUUGGAUUGACGUAAGUCAGUGGUAGGGGAGCGUUCUUAUUCCGUUGAAGUCGUACCGUGAGGAGCGGUGGAGGAAUAAGAAGUGAGAAUGCCGGUAUGAGUAAGCGAAAAGGCAGRUGAGAAUCCUGCCCGCCGAAAACCUAAGGAUUUCUGGGGAAGGUUCGUCCGCCCAGAGUAAGCCGGGACCUAAGCCGAGGCCGCAAGGCGUAGGUGAUGGACAAUCGGUUGAGAAUCCGAUGCCACCAACGACCGUUUGAGGAUGGAGUGACGCAGGAGGGUACGUUUAGCCAGCGGCUGGAAAAGCUGGUCCAAGCCCGUAGGGUGUGUGGUAGGCAAAUCCGCCACACAAAAARCCUGAGAGGUGAAGGGGAGCGAAAACAAGUAGCGAAGAAACGGAUCCCAAACUGCCAAGAAAAACUUCUAACGAGGUUAGUUGGUGCCCGUACCGCAAACCGACACAGGUAGGUGGGGUGAAAAUCCUAAGGCGCGCGAGAGAACCCUCGUUAAGGAACUCGGCAAAAUGACCCCGUAACUUCGGGAGAAGGGGUGCCUCGGUAUUGUGAAAGAUGAACAUCUGGAGCAAGAAGAGGCCGCAGAGAAAAGGCCCAAGCGACUGUUUACCAAAAACACAGGUCCCUGCUAAAGCGAAAGCUGACGUAUAGGGGCUGACGCCUGCCCGGUGCUGGAAGGUUAAGGGGAAGAGUUAGCGCAAGCGAAGCUUUAAACCGAAGCCCCAGUAAACGGCGGCCGUAACUAUAACGGUCCUAAGGUAGCGAAAUUCCUUGUCAGGUAAGUUCUGACCCGCACGAAAGGCGUAACGAUUUGGGCACUGUCUCAACGAGGGGCUCGGUGAAAUUGUAAUGACGGUGAAGAUGCCGUCUACCUGCGACAGGACAGAAAGACCCCGUGGAGCUUUACUGUAGCUUGACAUUGGGUUUUGGUAUUUGAUGUACAGGAUAGGUGGGAGACUGAGAAGUCCAUACGCCAGUAUGGAUGGAGUCGCCGUUGGGAUACCACCCUUUAGAUAUUGAAAUUCUAACUUUAGACCAUGAAGCUGGUCUGAGGACAGUGUCAGGUGGGCAGUUUGACUGGGGCGGUCGCCUCCCAAAAAGUAACGGAGGCGCCCAAAGGUUCCCUCAGCGCGGGCGGAAAUCGCGCGUAAGAGUGUAAAGGCAGAAGGGAGCUUGACAGCGAGACCAACAAGUCGAGCUGGUACGAAAGUAGGGCUUAGUGAUCCGGCGGUUCCGAGUGGAAGGGCCGUCGCUCAACGGAUAAAAGCUACCCCGGGGAUAACAGGCUUAUCUCCCCAAGAGUCCACAUCGACGGGGAGGUUUGGCACCUCGAUGUCGGCUCAUCGCAUCCUGGGGCUGAAGUAGGUCCCAAGGGUUGGGCUGUUCGCCCAUUAAAGCGGUACGUGAGCUGGGUUCAGAACGUCGUGAGACAGUUCGGUCCCUAUCCGUCGCAGGCGCAGGAAACUUGAGAAGAGCUGUCCCUAGUACGAGAGGACCGGGAUGGACGGACCGCUGGUGUACCAGCUAUCGUGCCAACGGUAGUGCUGGGUAACUAAGUCCGGCAGGGAUAAGUGCUGAAAGCAUCUAAGCACGAAGCCCCCUUCAAGAUGAGGUUUCCCACUACGCAAGUAGGUAAGAUCCCAUGMAGACUACAUGGUAGAUAGGCCGGGGGUGUAAGCGCAGCAAUGUGUUCAGCCGACCGGUACUAAUAGAUCGAGGUCUUGACCUAAUUU